GAUUCGCAUGAAUUUCUUAUCGCAUUAUUAGAAAAGCUUCAUGAUGAUCUUAAUAAGAAUGUUUCUCCAAACCAAAUAUUGAAUUUAGAUCAUUUACGUGAAUUUGAAGCACAGGAAAGGUUUUGGGCAAGUCAUAUUAACAUGAACAAAUCAAUUGUUUCAAAUCUAUUUGACGGAUUACUUUAAUCACAAUUGAUCUGUUUAAAUUGUAGUAAAACAUCAAAUAGCUAUGAAGUGUUUUCAUUGCUUUCUUUACCAAUUCCUUCAACUACAAAAUGUUGCUUAAAAGAGGGACUAGAAGAAGUGAACGAGAAAAUUUAGAGGUUACGGCCAACAUUUUCAAUGCGAAAACGUGUAUGUCGGGCGUUCAGCGCCGUCUUCUUGUAAGCCUAGAAGUUUGACAAUGGCAUUUGGAACAUCAGUGGAAUUAUGUUCGAUGUUCCAAAUGCCAUUGUCAAACUUCUAGGCUUACAAGAAGACGGCACUGAACGUCCGACGUACACGUUUUCGCAUUGAAAACGUCGAUUGUAACCUCUCUAAUGUCAAGCAAGGUAGAGAAGAGACAAGAUUAGAAGAUGGUUGUGAAACAUUGAUAGAACAUCAAACGUAAUGAUAAGGGAAAAAAUAGACAAUGCAGUAGAAGCAGUUGCAGGCUUAAGAUGAAGAGGAAGAUGAAAACAGAAAGCAGGAGAUUUUUUUGAAUAACUGUAGAUAUACUAGAUUAAUUUUUUUAAUAAAAUUAUGUUGAAUUGA